AUUGAACGCUGGCGGCAGGCUUAACACAUGCAAGUCGAGCGAGCGGCGGACGGGUGAGUAAUGUCUGGGAAACUGCCUGAUGGAGGGGGAUAACUACUGGACACGGUAGAUAAUACCACAUACCAUCAGAUGUGCCCAGGUGGGAUGAGCUUGUAGGGGGGGUAAUGGCUCACCUAGGCGACGAUCCCUAGCUGGUCUGAGAGGAUGAACAGCCACACUGGAACUGAGACACGGUCCAGACUCCUACGUGAGGCAGCAGUGGGGAAUAUUGCACAAUGGGCGCAAGCCUGAUGCAGCCAUGCCGCGUGUGUGAAGAAGGCCUUCGGGUUGUAAAGCACUUUCAGCGAGGAGGCGUUACUCGCAGAAGAAGCACCGGCUAACUCCGUGCCAGCAGCCGCGGUAAUUC
rnacentral:rRNA from 1 species